rnacentral:rRNA from 1 species
GAAAGAUGGCUUUGGCUAUCACUCUGGGAUGGACCUGCGGUGCAUUAGCUAGUUGGUAAGGUAACGGCUUACCAAGGCGAUGAUGCAUAGCCGAGUUGAGAGACUGAUCGGCCACAAUGGAACUGAGACACGGUCCAUACUCCUACGGGAGGCAGCAGUAGGGAAUCUUCCACAAUGGGCGCAAGCCUGAUGGAGCAACACCGCGUGAGUGAAGAAGGGUUUCGACUCGUAAAGCUCUGUUGUUGGAGAAGAACGUGCGUGAGAGUAACUGUUCACGCAGUGACGGUAUCCAACCAGAAAGUCACGGCUAACUACGUGCCAGCAGCCGCGGUAAUACGUAGGUGGCAAGCGUUAUCCGGAUUUAUUGGGCGUAAAGCGAGCGCAGGCGGUUGCUUAGGUCUGAUGUGAAAGCCUUCGGCUUAACCGAAGAAGUGCAUCGGAAACCGGGCGACUUGAGUGCAGAAGAGGACAGUGGAACUCCAUGUGUAGCGGUGGAAUGCGUAGAUAUAUGGAAGAACACCAGUGGCGAAGGCGGCUGUCUGGUCUGCAACUGACGCUGAGGCUCGAAAGCAUGGGUAGCGAACAGGAUUAGAUACCCUGGUAGUCCAUGCCGUAAACGAUGAGUGCUAGGUGUUGGAGGGUUUCCGCCC